ensembl:lncRNA
UAUGGGUAAUGUGUAGGUGAUGUGCAGGUAAUGCAUGGGUAAUGUGUAGGUGAUGUGCAGGUAAUGUGUAGGUAAUGUGUAGGCAAUGUAUAGGUGAUGUGCAGGUAAUGUAUGGGUAAUGUGUAGGUGAUGUGCAGGUAAUGUAUGGGUAAUGUGUAGGUGAUGUGCGGGUAAUGUGUAGGUAAUGUAUAGGUGAUGUGCAGGUAAUGUGUAGGUAAUGUGUAGGUGAUGUGCAGGCAAUGUGUAGGUAAUGUGUAGGUGAUGUGCAGGCAAUGUGUAGGUAAUGUGUAGGCAAUAUAUAGGUGAUGUGCAGGUAAUGUAUGGGUAAUGUGUAGGUAAUGUAUGGGUAAUGUGUAGGUGAUGUGCAGGUAAUGUAUGGGUAAU